rnacentral:rRNA from 1 species
GAUGAACGCUGGCGGCGUGCUUAAUACAUGCAAGUCGAGCGAACGGACGAGAAGCUUUCUUCUCUGAUGUUAGCGGCGGAGGGGUGUGUAACAUGUGGAUAACACACCUAUAAGACUGGGAUAACUUCGUGAAACCGGUGCUAAUACCGGCAGAUCUUCUGAACCGCAUGGUUCAAAAGUGACAGACGGUUUUGCAUUAACUUAUAGAUGGAUCCGUGCUGCAUUAGCUAGUUGGUUAGGUAACGGCUUACCAAGGCAACGAUGCAUAGCCGACCUGAGAGGGUGAUCGGCCACACUGGAACUGAGACACGGUCCAGACUCCUACGGGAGGCAGCAGUAGGGAAUCUUCCGCAAUGGGCGAAAGCCUGACGGAGCAACGCCGCGUGAGUGAUGAAGGUCUUCGGAUCGUAAAACUCUGUUAGUAGGGAAGAACAUAUGUGUAAGUAACUGUGCACAUAUUGACGGUACCUAAUCAGAAAGCCACGGCUAACUACGUG